rnacentral:ncRNA from 1 species
UCAUACGGUCACGAGACCGAUAGCGAACUAGUACCGUGAGGGAAAGUUGAAAAGCACUUUGGAGAGAGAGUUAAAAAGUACGUGAAACCGUCGAGAGGCAAACGGGAGGGCCUGUCGGGUCGUUCGGUCGCUUUCAGGCGGGCCGGAGACCGGGUCGCGGGAUCGGGGACCUUCGCGGGCCUCGACUCGCGUCGCCGGCCGACGGCUCGGCGCACUAGCGUCGGACGAGGGCCGCGACCGGCUGGGCGGCGGGCAAACGGCUCCGGGCAAGGUAACCCCGCUUCGGCGGGGUGCUACAGGCCCGGUGCGCGCAAGGGUCGCCGCCCGGUCGAGGAGAGAUGCGCGCCGCACCUGCCCCGUUCGCGGGGCCGGGGAAGCCGUUCGAGCAGCUCCGUGUCGCGGUCCGGGACUGUCCUCAGUCCCGGGUCGUCUCGGCGCGGUUCCGAGCGGUCGCUCCCUCGCGAGGUGCCGCGGGUCAGCGGCUGACGCCAGCCACCUUCCCGACCCGUCUUGAAACACGGACCAAGGAGUCUAACAUGUGCGCGAGCCGCGGGGCAGUACGAAACCCGUAAGGCGAAAUGAAGGUGAACGCCGGCGCGGUCCGGCGGGACGUUGGAUCCCGUCCCGUCGGGGCGGGCGCACUACCGGCCGAUCUUCUCCGCCCUGUCGGCGAGGUCGAGCGAGAGCGUGCAAGUCGGGACCCGAAAGAUGGUGAACUAUGCCUGAGGAGGUUGAAGCCAGAGGAAACUCUGGUGGAGGACCGUAGCGAUUCUGACGUGCAAAUCGAUCGUCAAAUUUGGGUAUAGGGAGCCGGGCAUGGAAUGCGAGUGCCAAGUGGGCCACUCUUGGUAAGCAGGACUGGCGAUGCGGGAUGAACCGAACGCCGGGUUAAGGCGCCCGACGCGACGCUCAUCAUAGCCCACAAAAGGUGUUGGUUGAUAUAGACAGCAUGACGGUGGCCAUGGAACUCGGAAACCGCUAAGGAGUGUGUAACAACUCACCUGCCGAAUCAAUCAGCCCUGAAAAUGGAUGGCGCUGGAGCGUCGGGCCUAUACCCGGCCGUCGCGGCGGUACGAGCAUCGAGUUGGUGCGCUAGGCCGCGACGAGUAGGAGGGCCGCGGCGGCGGGCGUAGAAGCCUAGGGCGCGAGCCCGGGUGGAGCAGCCGUCGGUGCAGAUCUUGGUGGUAGUAGCAAAUAUUCAAAUGAGAACUUUGAAGGCCGAAGUGGAUAACGGUUCCAUGUGAACAGCA